rnacentral:misc_RNA from 1 species
UAUUAGAGAGAUUAAGCACUCUCAACCCAUGAAUCCUUCCAAACGCCUCAGGCAAGUACAACAAUCUCCUGUUCGACAAAUCCACCCUCUCCAGACCCUUUCCAGACGCCUCUUGGAGUAUUCCCACAAUCUCUUCGUUCAACUGCUCGUACACUUCCCCCUUAUUUUUCUCAUCCUUCUCCUCCUCUCCCAUCUCCGCCUUCUCAU